UGGCCCUUCCUCUAAGGCCGCUGGACUCCGGUAAGCCACCAACCCCGAACCCUAAUCCUAAUCGCAACAAUAACCUUGCCGGAGUCGGGAAUGGAGCUCCUUGAUGCGCCAAUGUCGGGGACGAAACUCCUCAACGUGAAUUGCUGCAUACAUUGGUCAGCCUCAAAUUCGGGUGCCAUGUAGCAGAUUUAUUGGUCCAAAAGAGCAUCUUCCAAUGGAUUGCCAUCUUUCAGUUGAUAAAACAGAAUCUUCAUAGCUACAGAUUGAACAGGUGACUUUAGUGAAUGAUGAGGAGCUCGAGCUCAGUGAAUUACAAACAGGUCCUAACCCAUUAUGAUGUUCAGCUCAUCUUUCUUAAACUGGGAGACAUGGCUGCUCCCUUUGUAAAGGUUUGCAGUGCCAUCUCAUACCUCUAUGUUCCCAUGUUCUGUAGUUAUUUACGCAAAUAUUAACACCUUUAUCUUGCAGAUUUACUUGCCAAUUUCCUCCACAAAGUGUCAAAUAUGAAACAGUCAUUCUCUGGGAAACUUUGGGUUCCUUUCAUGACCUGAAAUAAUUCAUUUCGUUUCGUGCACAAUUUCCAGCUGUUCAUCUAAUUAAUUCAGCUCUUACACCAUAGUGGAUGGUCCGGAGUAAUUGUUGAAUGGUCUGCCCAAAAAAAAAACAGAGAAUAUUUUUGACUCAUCUGGUUAGAAGCAAAAUUGUUUAAUUCCCACAUGUUCUAUAUCAGUAUAUAAUUAAGGCUAGAUGGAUUUAUCGACAUUGCCAUGGUUAUUUAGUGCAAAAAGAAUAGCACUGCUUUACAAAGAUCAUGUAUUUCUUAGUGCAUGCCCGCUGCCCGAAAGAGGUAUAUGCAAAUUCUACAUUUAUUUGCUCACCGUGUUAUUUACUGACAACUGUUUCAACCUGCUUUUCUUAGUGCCCGCUGCAUGAAGGAGGUAUAUGUAAAUACUACAUUUAUUUGCUCACAACGUUAACUGCUCACAAAAUGUUCCAUGCUGCUACAAGCCGCUAUAGAAGAGACGUGGUCAAAUACAUCGAUGUGAGAGCAGUGCUAAUUUAUAGGAUGAUGUUGAAAGUUCUCUUCCAAAGCACGAUCUUGCCCUGCUGAGUGCUGAAUCAACUCCAGCUGAACAUCAAGUGGGAGCCCAAAUCCUCAGGUAACAGAGGCUUACUGAUCUUACGAUCCAUAUUGCCAUAAAUUAUGUUUGGUAUGUGCCAAAUGUUUACACUUUAAUUGUCGAAACAGUAAUAGUAUCCUUUACAACAAUCCAUAUUGUAAGAAACCAAGUUUGGCACGUGCCAAAUGCUAUAUAUACUCUUUCCUUUGUAUACAUGUUCCUCUUAUGCAAUGAAACCAAACACUGUUUUCUUAUAGUAUCUCCCCGAUAUAA